UCAAUUUUCAUGAGGUAUCCAAGUGUCCACCCUCUAACGAUGAUCCACACGAAAAUUGAACCAAAGACAACACUCCCCCUUCACCUUGCUUCAAGAGUUCUAGCCCGUGAAACUCGACUAGCCACCAAUCGAUCAGAUUUUUCUCCAGACCUAAGUUUGAGCCACUCUGAACCACCCACUGGACCUGACCACCUUUUAUUAGAUGUGUGCCCUAGAUG
rnacentral:lncRNA from 1 species